rnacentral:tRNA from 3 species
GCGGCCGUCGUAAAGUGGUAUUACCUCAGCCUUCCAAGCUGAAGUCGUGGGUUCGAUUCCCAUCGGCCGCU